rnacentral:rRNA from 1 species
UACGUAGGUGGCAAGCGUUGUCCGGAUUUACUGGGCGUAAAGGGCGUGCAGGCGGUUUGUUAAGUUCAGGGUGAAAGCUCCCGGCUCAACUGGGAGAGGUCCUUGGAUACUGGCAGACUUGAGGGAGGUAGAGGAGAGUGGAAUUCCCGGUGUAGUGGUGAUAUGCGUAGAUAUCGGGAGGAACACCAGUGGCGAAGGCGGCUCUCUGGGCCUUACCUGACGCUGAGGAGCGAAAGCGUGGGGAGCGAACAGG